UACGUAGGGGGCAAGCGUUGUCCGGAUUUAUUGGGCGUAAAGAGCGUGUAGGCGGCUUUGUAAGUUAGAGGUGAAAGCCCGGGGCUCAACUCCGGAAUUGCCUUUAAGACUGCAUCGCUAGAAUUGUGGAGAGGUAAGUGGAAUUCCGAGUGUAGAGGUGAAAUUCGUAGAUAUUCGGAAGAACACCAGUGGCGAAGGCGACUUACUGGACACAUAUUGACGCUGAGGUGCGAAAGCGUGGGGAGCAAACAGG
rnacentral:rRNA from 1 species